GCCGCGUGAUCGCCGACUCGACAGUCGAGCGGCGAGCGGCAGUGGGGGGACAGUGGGCGUCGCUUCAAGAAUCGGCUCGAAAUGAGCAACUAACUCCGAGCACUGACUUAGACUAUCGAUAUUAGUCGACGCUACUCAAACUCGACUAGUAAUUGAUAAGAAAUAUGUAUGAGAUAAUAUGUAAUUUCUGUCUCAAAUAUUUUCUCCAUUGCGCAGCCUAAGAGUGAAAAUGAAUUGCACAGAUACCUUCAUUCGAUGUGUCGCCAUAAAAUUUACGUGCUUUAAUAAACCUUUUUUUCGGAAUAUUCUCUUUUUCUUCCUAUAGGACAAUAUUGUAUCAUCUGACGUAGACAUUUGGGCUACUGCUUGUUCAACUGACCGUGCAUUUGAAUAUUUGGCUUCUGGCGACUCGAUGGUGUCAAUAUCUUAUCAAUACUUAUUAGGAUGUACAACAGUAAGCAAUAUUAUAUCUGAAACAUGCGAAGUAAUUUGGAAUGAGUUAUGCCCAAUUGUCCUUCCACCUUCUUUAUCGAAAAAAGAUUGAAAAAAUAUUGCAGCAGACUUUGAUCAACGAUGCGAUUUCCCUCACUGUAUCGGUGCUAUUGAUGGAAAACACAUUGUUAUUCAAUGCCCUAAUAAUGCUGGUUCCAUGUAUUACAAUUAUAAACACAGCCAUAGUAUCGUUUUAAUGGCAGUAUGCGAUGCUAACUAUAUGUUUACAUUUGUUGACAUUGGAGCCUAUGGUAGACGCAGCGAUGGUGGAAUUUUUAAAGAAUACCAAUUUGGCAAAAAAUUUGAACAAAAUAAAAUGAACGUACCAGAAGCAGAGGAUAUUUCUAGAAAUGGUCCCAAAUUGCCGUAUUGCCUUGUUGGAGAUGAAGCAUUUCCUUUAAAAGAAUAUUUGCUUCGACCAUACUCAGGAAGGGGCGGGCUGACUGAAGAAAAAAAUAUAUUCAAUUAUUGACUAAGUCGUGCCAGACGAGUGAUUGAAAAUACAUUUGGUAUUCUUGCCUGUCAAUGGCGAAUACUGAGAAAGCCAAUAAUUGGCAAAGUAGAAACUGUUGAAAGAAUUGUGCAAAGCAUUGUGUGUUUGCAUAAUUGGUUACGAAAACAGGACAUAAACAAAAAUGAAUACAUAACUACAAGUAUGAUCGAUCAUGAUGGUCCUAAUGGUUUUACACCUGGUUCUUGGAGAAUGGUAGUUGAAAAUGGUUCUGCUUAUCGUGAGGUACAAAGAGCAGGGGCAUAUAUGAGUACUCAGAAAAGUAUGGAAGUGCGAGAAAAUUUUAGCGAAUAUUUUAAUAAUGACGGAUCUGUAAUCCAUGGCAAGAUGAUUAUGUUUAAUUGUAAAAUACACAAAGUAAUUUGUUAGUAGAUAUAAAAAAUUUAAUAGGAUUUUCUUAGUUCAUUUUUAAUUAGUUUUUAUUUUAUUAGCUUAUUUUAUAAAAAAAAAAGAUUCUAUGUAGACCCAAAUGUAUGUUUCAUAUUCUUUUUAUAUUAUUCAUUUUCUAUAAAUGUUAAAAUAAAUGACUUCGAUAAAA